UGCAAAUACAUCAAGCAGAAGGGAGCUUGACUGCAAGACUCACCCGUCGAGCAGAGACGAAAGUCGGCCUUAGUGAUCCGACGGUGCCGAGUGGAAGGGCCGUCGCUCAA
rnacentral:ncRNA from 1 species